CCUACGGGUGGCUGCAGUGGGGAAUAUUGGACAAUGGGCGAAAGCCUGAUCCAGCCAUGCCGCGUGUGUGAAGAAGGCCUUCGGGUUGUAAAGCACUUUCAGUGGGGAAGAAAGCCUUGGGGCUAAUACCCUCGAGGAAGGACAUCACCCACAGAAGAAGCACCGGCUAACUCCGUGCCAGCAGCCGCGGUAAUACGGAGGGUGCGAGCGUUAAUCGGAAUUACUGGGCGUAAAGCGCGCGUAGGCGGUCUGAUAAGCCGGUUGUGAAAGCCCCGGGCUCAACCUGGGAACGGCAUCCGGAACUGUCAGGCUAGAGUGCAGGAGAGGAAGGUAGAAUUCCCGGUGUAGCGGUGAAAUGCGUAGAGAUCGGGAGGAAUACCAGUGGCGAAGGCGGCCUUCUGGACUGACACUGACGCUGAGGUGCGAAAGCGUGGGUAGCAAACAGGAUUAGAGACCCCGGUAGUC
rnacentral:rRNA from 1 species